UACAGGGGGUGCAAACGUUGCUCGGAAUCAUUGGGCGUAAAGCGCACGUAGGCGGUUCGUUAUGUCGGAUGUGAAAGCCCUUGGCUUAACCGAGGAAGUGCAUCCGAAACUGGCGAGCUAGAGUACUAAAAGAGGAUCGCGGAAUUCCCGGUGUAGAGGUGAAAUUCGUAGAUAUUGGGAAGAACACCGGUGGCGAAGGCGGCGACCUGGUCUUUUACUGAGCUGAGGCGCGAAAAGCGUGGGGAGCAAACAGG
rnacentral:rRNA from 1 species